UACGAGGGGAGCAAGCGUUGUUCGGAUUUACUGGGCGUAAAGGGCGCGUAGGCGGCGUGACUAGUCACUUGUGAAAUCUCCGGGCUUAACUCGGAACGGUCAAGUGAUACUGUCGUGCUAGAGUACAGAAGGGGCAACUGGAAUUCUCGGUGUAGCGGUGAAAUGCGUAGAUAUCGAGAGGAACACCUGCGGCGAAGGCGGGUUGCUGGGCUGAUACUGACGCUGAUGCGCGAAAGCCAGGGGAGCAAACGGG
rnacentral:rRNA from 1 species